UACGGAGGGGGCUAGCGUUGUUCGGAAUUACUGGGCGUAAAGCGCGCGUAGGCGGACCUGCAAGUCGGGGGUGAAAGCCCGGGGCUCAACCUCGGAACUGCCUUAGAUACUGCGGGUCUCGAGUCCGGGAGAGGUGAGUGGAAUUCCUAGUGUAGAGGUGAAAUUCGUAUAUAUUAGGAAGAACACCAGUGGCGAAGGCGGCUCACUGGCCCGGUACUGACGCUGAGGCACGAAAGCGUGGGGAGCAAACAUA
rnacentral:rRNA from 1 species